rnacentral:rRNA from 1 species
CAGCAGCCGCGGGAAUACGUAGGUGGCAAGCGUUGUCCGGAAUUAUUGGGCGUAAAGGGCUCGCAGGCGGUUUCUUAAGUCUGAUGUGAAAGCCCCCGGCUCAACCGGGGAGGGUCAUUGGAAACUGGGAAACUUGAGUGCAGAAGAGGAGAGUGGAAUUCCACGUGUAGCGGUGAAAUGCGUAGAGAUGUGGAGGAACACCAGUGGCGAAGGCGACUCUCUGGUCCGUAACUGACGCUGAGGAGCGAAAGCGUGGGGAGCGAACAGGAUUAGAGACCCCCGUAGUCCCUGUCUCUUAUAC